UCCGUUGUAGUCUAGUUGGUUAGGAUACUCGGCUCUCACCGAGAGACCCGGGUUCAAUUCCGCAACGGAA
rnacentral:tRNA from 1 species